AUUGAACGCUGGCGGCAGGCUUAACACAUGCAAGUCGAGCGAGCGGCGGACGGGUGAGUAAUGUCUGGGAAACUGCGUGAUGGAGGGGGAUAACUACUGGAAACGGUAGCUAAUACCGCAUACCAUCGGAUGUGCCCAGAUGGGAUUAGCUAGUAGGUGGGGUAAUGGCUAACCUAGGCGACGAUCCCUGGCGGGUCUGAGAGGAUGACCAGCCACCCUGGAAGUGAGACACGGUCCAGACUCCUAGGGGAGGAGGCAGUGGGGAAUAUUGCACAAUGGGCGCAAGCCUGAUGCAGCCAUGCCGGGUGGAUGAAGAAGGCCUUCGGGUUGUAAAGCACUUUCAGCGGGGAGGCGUUACUCGCAGAAGAAGCACCGGCUAACUCCGUGCCAGCCGCCGCGGUAAUAC
rnacentral:rRNA from 1 species